AUGCCUACAUUUGCACUAACUAUCCUCAGAGUGCCAAAGAAGCUACUAAAGGAGAUAGACAAGUGCCGGCGCAUGUUUCUUUGGAAACAAGAUGAAGAGAUUACAUGUGGUAGCUACAAGGUCAACUGGUCAGCGGUGUGCACUCCUGCAUCACAUGGAGGACUAGGAAUCCUUGAUCUCGAGCGGUUCAGCCGCGCCCUCAGAUUGCGGUGGCUUUGGAUCUCCUGGACUGAUUCUGAGCGGCCUUGGGUCGGCACGGAGCCGCCAUGCAACAACAGCGACAAAGCCCUCUUCACGGCGACAACCAUGGUCACCAUCGGCGACGGCGCAAAGGCACUCUUCUGGCACUCCCCUGGAUCAGGCUGA
rnacentral:rRNA from 1 species